AUGAACGCUGGCGGCGUGCCUAAUACAUGCAAGUCGAGCGAACAGACGAGGAGCUUGCUCCUCUGACGUUAGCGGCGGACGGGUGAGUAACCCGUGGAUAACCUACCUAUAAGACUGGGAUAACUUCGGGAAACCGGAGCUAAUACCGGAUAAUAUAUUGAACCGCAUGGUUCAAUAGUGAAAGACGGUUUUGCUGUCACUUAUAGAUGGAUCCGCGCCGCAUUAGCUAGUUGGUAAGGUAACGGCUUACCAAGGCAACGAUGCGUAGCCGACCUGAGAGGGGGAUCGGCCACACUGGAACUGAGACACGGUCCAGACUCCUACGGGAGGCAGCAGUAGGGAAUCUGCCGCAAUGGGCGAAAGCCUGACGGAGCAACGCCGCGUGAGUGAUGAAGGUCUUCGGAUCGUAAAACUCUGUUAUUAGGGAAGAACAAAUGUGUAAGUAACUAUGCACGUCUUGACGGUACCUAAUCAGAAAGCCACGGCUAACUACGUG
rnacentral:rRNA from 1 species